rnacentral:rRNA from 1 species
AACGUAGGUACCGAGCAUUAUCCGGAUUUACUGGGCGUAAAGCGCGUUCAGGCGGUUUGGCAAGUCGGGCAUGAAAUCUCUCGGCUCAACCGGGAGAGGUUGUCCGAUACUUCCAGACUUGAGGGCAGUAGAGGGUGGUGGAAUUCCGGGUGUAGUGGUGAAAUGCGUAGAUAUCCGGAGGAACACCAGUGGCGAAAGCGGCCACCUGGACUGCACCUGACGCUGACACGCGAAAGCUAGGGGAGCGAACGGG